CAAGAUAUUAAAAUUUUAAAUUUAAAACAAAUGAGAAAAAAUUGGUGAAGGAACUAGUUUGGUGCACGACAUUUAAUUUCAGGGACUAAAAUGAGUCACUUAAUGUAAAGUGAGGGACUCAUUUGGUGUAUAUACAACGAUGACAUAAUGGAUGACAUGUGGACGAAUACUGUUGCGACACGUGGCACAAACGGACACGUGGCCAAAUAACUUUGUGACACAUGGCACAACCAUCCACGUCAGCAUACCACGUGUCACUAGUCACCACAUCAUCAUACCAUUACACAUGGCCAGAUCAUGAAGUGACAUGUGUCACUUACAGUCCACGUCAUCAUGCCAUGUCAUCACGUCGUUAAUGGAAAAUAGGUCAGGGAUUAAUAUGGUGCAUUUUUUCAAUCUCAGGGACGUAAUUGGUACAAUUAGAAUCUCAGAGACGAUUUUAGUGCACGACGCCAAUCUGAGAGACCAUUUUGAGGUUUAACUCGAUGAAUAACAGGUGCUUUCGUAAUUUGAUCCACUCAAGUUUACUCCCGAAAUGAAGCAAAAUAAUAACCCUAUAAGACCCCAGAAAAAAAGAAAAAUGUUAACAAGAUAUGCAUGUUAGUAGAUGAAUAAAAGACAAUCAUUGAAGUGAGAUUAAUUAACAAAGAAUAUUCCAAUACAACGAAAAUAUGAUCUUAAUUAACAAGGAAUCAGAUAGAAAUAAUCGCUAAGACAUGAUUGGGCUCACCUGGGACCAAUUAAUGCUAAGAUCCAUCAAGUAGAGUGGAAGAGUUCAUGCUUACAUGAUCUAAUAUCUUUUUGGUGUUGUAUAAGUGGUUUGUUUUUUAGGAUCAUUUCAGAUCUGUUUUCACAAUUUAUUUGUUAUGGAUGGAUCUAAAAAUAAUGUCGUUGGUAGAUGUAGGAUGAGUCAUGGUUCAUGAGUGGUUGGUGUUGGUGAGUAUAAUUUAAAUUCAGACCUUCCGUUUUUGAAAAACUAACUUUUGAUAUAUUAAAAUAGUAAAGUUAUCCACCACUCAACGUAAACAUGGAAGCUUGAACUUUUUCCUCUUUAAAAACAAGCCUAUUAAAGAAGAACACUAAAAACAAGUUUCACAAAGAAGAACACUAAAAAAAAGUUCUACAACUCACUUGAUGAUAAAUAAUUAACGUUUAC
rnacentral:lncRNA from 1 species